UCCAGGUCGCCCAGCAGGCCCAACAUCCGUCUGAGCAAGAAUGAUAAGAGGGAGCUCCUGGAAAUUGCAAGAGCCAACGCCGCCAGGGCCCUCGGGGUGGAUGACUUGGAACUGCCGGACAGCGUGAAGGCCGAGCUGCUGGCGGACGGGCGGGAGAAAGGGGUGAGGCGAGAGAGUACCACUCUGAAGGGUCUGAAGGAGGUAGGUGCGAUGUGUAUUGGAGAACUUUUCUCGGGUAGCUGUGCUCCAAGCGUGAACAGGCAACAUGGGAAUGUCCGCUGUGAACUGGGGGCGGCGAUGAGACGGAAUUGUUAAGUAGACUCCCGUUCCUUCUUUCCCAGUGUUGCGCCCCUAAGCAGAUGAUGCCGCAAAGCGUCCGAGGAUGAUGGGCACGUUAGGCAUUCUCUGACUGGCCUUGCCAUGUUUCUGCCACAUAGGCACGUACGUGGUUAUGGUGAGGAUAACGUUUCCCAGCCAGUUUGUGCUAUUUGACUGGAUGGUUUGAGGAAAAAUACUGGGCCAGUGGUUCUAUGUAGCUAGGGAUUAAGCUAGCUCCUAGUCUUAGUCCCAUGUUUCCUGUUGGGUUACAGCAGUGUGUUGUGUAGUAGAGCUUUUGGGAGCUCUGCCUCAACCUCUGAUUCAGUUAGAUCAUGUUUAAAUUCAGUUGGUUUAAGUUGGAUUCUUCUUCACGGCGUAGUUAAUAUCAGUAACAAAACUUAAAUUGAUUUAAGCAUGAAAGCAACUACUGAAAUGGUCUAGAAUCAUAUAUGAGCUGUAUUUUAUUCAUGGUCUGCUGACACUUUGUUGCAUUGUCUGCAGUGGGAUUUUACUUAUUCUCCAAACUACUACACAAAAAUCUGCUAUUGUCUUUUUUUCCUCCCAUACUGUUUUCAGGUAAAAGAUUAGACUUUCAUGCUCUAUUUCUGUUUUAUAGAAAACUUGAGUGUGGUCUUCAGUGCCUUGGUGAAGAGAAUAAGGUGGUAAUGCGUGGCAUGGUGUUUUGGGGAGGGUUGAAUUUGUUGAUGACCAAAAAACAUAAUUUUAUGGGUGAAUUGUAGAAAACUAGUUUUUCAGGUCCUUUAAGUGAGUACUGUGUACUUUGCGGAUUUAAUCUUAAUGUUUUUAUUUUUGUAUAUGUAUUAGUAUGCCUUAGUACUAUAUAACUGAUUUUAUUCAUGUUUACAUGAUUAAUAGAACUUUCAGCUCUUUGAACAAGCUGAAGACUCCCAGGUUUCAAAUGUUAUUUUUUACACUGUAUUCCAGAUAAGAGAUCUUGUUAAAGAAGAAGAGCCAAGCUGCUUAUGCCAAAGAUAAGUUAUUUGCACAAAUAGUGCUGGGUUGAAUCUCAAUGUGAAGAAAAAGCCUUUGGUACACAGAAAUGAGAAUGGUACCUUCUAGAAAAACGCGUCGUGGAAGAGAUUAGGUGCAUAUUGCACCAAUUCACUUUUUAGAGUUCCAAGAAGUGAUUCGGAAUAAAUGGUUCUCAUUUGUCAAAUGUAUGAGGCUCUGCACCCAUACCCUGUAGUAACAAGGUUAAACUGUGGAAUGAGCAGGUUUGUAGUAGUGUAUUUACUAUAUAUUCAAAGAAAUUGGGUACUGAUGACUUACCUUAAUAAAGAAGUGGCACAUCUUAAUCUUUCAUGCAUGUAAUGUUACUGAAGUUUCUGAUCUUAAUGUCUUAAGUAGAAUAUUGCUCAGAUACUAUUACCAAGUCUAAAAUGGCAUUUGUUUUCUUCUUGCAGCAUAAUAAAAAGACUGAAGCAGAAGAGGAGUCUCCUUACACGGAGAUGUCACCUAAAAACAAGUUGAUUGUUUUCAGCCCAAAAAAUGCUGUGGCAAAGCCAUCAUAUUGCACACAACCAGGCAGUCCUGAAUCCACAGUCAAGUUUGAAAGCAAGAAAAACGGAUACCCUUAUGGACUUUGGGUACCAGUCGCUCAACAAGCAAAAACUAAUGGGCUGUUUUCAAAUAUAUCUCCCAAAAAUUCCUUCAUAAAGACGCGGUAGCUUCAGGAGCAAGUGUUUCUGUAAAUUUAAUGUAUUUUUUUGUACAUAGAAUUUAUAUUAUAUGGGGAGGGUGGGCUGUUAAAAAUGGUUUUAAAUAUUAGAUGUUUUCUUUCAGAUGUUAUGUGAAAUGAAGACUGGACAAGAUUUCAUACAGGUGGGAAUUUUAAUCUAAACUUGUUACAGUGAGUGUUUUGCAUUUGUAUUUUUUUUCAUCCUCUUGGUCCUUGAAUAAAAAUAAAUUUGAAACUGGG